rnacentral:piRNA from 1 species
UCCCAGGCCUCUCCACAGGCUGUGUCC